GACCUCCGGAGUGCAGGGUUGGGAUACCCGCUGAACUUAAGCAUAUCAAUAAGCCGGAGG
rnacentral:rRNA from 1 species